rnacentral:rRNA from 1 species
CCGCGGUAAUACGGAGGGUGCGAGCGUUAAUCGGAAUUACUGGGCGUAAAAGCGCAUGCAGGUGGUUUGUUAAGUCAGAUGUGAAAGCCCGGGGCUCAACCUCGGAAUUGCAUUUGAAACUGGCAAACUAGAGUACUGUAGAGGGGGUAGAAUUUCAGGUGUAGCGGUGAAAUGCGUAGAGAUCUGAAGGAAUACCGGUGGCGAAGGCGGCCCCCUGGACAGAUACUGACACUCAGAUGCGAAAGCGUGGGGAGACAAACAGGAUUAGAUACCCUGGUAG